rnacentral:rRNA from 1 species
CGCGAUUGGAUGAACCUAGGUGGGAUUAGCUAGUUGGUGAGGUAAUGGCUCACCAAGGCGACGAUCCCUAGCUGUUCUGAGAGGAUGAUCAGCCACACUGGGACUGAGACACGGCCCAGACUCCUACGGGAGGCAGCAGUGGGGAAUAUUGCACAAUGGGGGAAACCCUGAUGCAGCCAUGCGCGUGUGUGAAGAAGGCCUUCGGGUUGUAAAGCACUUUCAGUAGGGAGGAAAGGGUAAGUCCUAAUACGACUUAUCUGUGACGUUACCUACAGAAGAAGGACCGGCUAACUCCGUGCCAGCAGCCGCGGUAAUACGGAGGGUCCGAGCGUUAAUCGGAAUUACUGGGCGUAAAGCGUGCGCAGGCGGUUUGUUAAGCGAGAUGUGAAAGCCCUGGGCUCAACCUAGGAAUCGCAUUUCGAACUGACCAACUAGAGUCUUGUAGAGGGGGGUAGAAUUCCAGGUGUAGCGGUGAAAUGCGUAGAGAUCUGGAGGAAUACCGGUGGCGAAGGCGGCCCCCUGGACAAAGACUGACGCUCAUGCACGAAAGCGUGGGGAGCAAACGGGAUUAGAUACCCUGGUAGUCCACGCCGUAAACGAUGUCUACUCGGAGUUUGGUGCCUU